UUGAACGCUGGCGGCAGGCCUAACACAUGCAAGUCGAAUGGUAACAGGAAACAGCUUGCUGUUUCGCUGACGAGUGGCGGACGGGUGAGUAAUGUCUGGGAAACUGCCUGAUGGAGGGGGAUAACUACUGGAAACGGUAGCUAAUACCGCAUAACGUCGCAAGACCAAAGAGGGGGACCUUCGGGCCUCUUGCCAUCAGAUGUGCCCAGAUGGGAUUAGCUAGUAGGUGGGGUAACGGCUCACCUAGGCGACGAUCCCUAGCUGGUCUGAGAGGAUGACCAGCCACACUGGAACUGAGACACGGUCCAGACUCCUACGGGAGGCAGCAGUGGGGAAUAUUGCACAAUGGGCGCAAGCCUGAUGCAGCCAUGCCGCGUGUAUGAAGAAGGCCUUCGGGUUGUAAAGUACUUUCAGCGGGGAGGAAGGGAGUAAAGUUAAUACCUUGGCUCAUUGACGUUACCCGCAGAAGAAGCACCGGCUAACUCCGUG
rnacentral:rRNA from 1 species